rnacentral:rRNA from 1 species
GAUGAACGCUGGCGGCGUGCCUAAUACAUGCAAGUCGAGCGAACAGACGAGGAGCUUGCUCCUCUGACGUUAGCGGCGGACGGGUGAGUAACACGUGGAUAACCUACCUAUAAGACUGGGAUAACUUCGGGAAACCGGGGCUAAUACCGGAUAAUAUAUUGAACCGCAUGGUUCAAUAGUGAAAGACGGUUUUGCUGUCACUUAUAGAUGGAUCCGCGCCGCAUUAGCUAGUUGGUAAGGUGACGGCUUACCAAGGCAACGAUGCGUAGCCGACCUGAGAGGGUGAUCGGCCACACUGGAACUGAGACACGGUCCAGACUCCUACGGGAGGCAGCAGUAGGGAAUCUUCCGCAAUGGGCGAAAGCCUGACGGAGCAACGCCGCGUGAGUGAUGAAGGUCUUCGGAUCGUAAAACUCUGUUAUUAGGGAAGAACAAAUGUGUAAGUAACUAUGCACGUCUUGACGGUACCUAAUCAGAAAGCCACGGCUAACUACGUGC